AUGAUACUCCCUCCGUCCGGAAAUACUUGUCAUCAAAAUGGAUGAAAAUGAAUGUAUCUACAACUAAAAUGCAUCUAGAUACAUCCAUUUCAAUGACAAGUAUUUCCGGACGGAGGGAGUACAAG
rnacentral:pre_miRNA from 1 species